GGAGGUAGAGCACCGGAUGGGCUAGGGGUCCCACCAGACUGCCAAACCCAACCGAACUCCGAAUGCCGGCGAGCCUGCAGCGGGAGCCAGGCGGCGGGAGCUAACUUCCGCGCGUCGAGAGGGAAACAACCCAGACCAUCGGCCAAGGCCCCCAAGCCGCAGCUCAGUGGGAAAGGAGGUGGGGGCGCAUGGACAGCCAGGAGGUUGGCUUAGAGGCAGCCAUCCUUUAAAGAAAGCGUAACAGCUCACUGGCCGAGCGCCCUCGCGCCGAAAAUACAGCGGGGCUCAAGCUGCGCGCCGAAGCCGUGGACCCCUUCGGGGGUGGUAGGGGAGCUUCCCCCGUGCAGAGAAGCCGUCUCGUGAGGGAUGGUGGAGCGCGGGGGAGUGAGGAUGUUGGCACGAGUAGCGAUAAUGGGGGUGAGAACCCCCCACGCCGAAAGCCCAAGGGUUCCCGGGCCAUGCCAGUCAGCCCGGGGUCAGUCGGUUCCUAAGGCGAGGCCGAAAGGCGCAGCCGACGGGAAACCGGUUCACAUUCCGGUACCUGGGUGUGCGCGUGAUGGAGGGACGCAGGAGGGUAGGCGAGCCGGGUGAUGGAUAUCCCGGUCCAAGGUCGUAGGCGGGCCGCCCAGGCAAAUCCGGGGGGCCUCAACGUCGAGAGCCGAUGGCGAGAGGCUAGCCUCGUAAAGUCGCCGAUCCCACGCUGCCGAGAAAAGCUUCUAAGCAUAGCACACGCAGACCGUACCCCAAACCGACACAGGUGGGCGGGUGGAGAACACUAAGGCGCACGAGUGAGAGCGCGUUAAGGAACUCUGCAAGAUGGCUCCGUAACUUCGGGAGAAGGAGUGCCCGCGUCAGGUGAAGGGGCUUGCCCCUGGAGCCGAGGCGGGCCGCAGUGACCAGGCCCAGCCGACUGUUUAGCAAAAACACAGCCCUCCGCAAACCCGCAAGGGGACGUAUGGGGGGUGACGCCUGCCCGGUGCCGGAAGGUCAAGGGGAGAGGUCAGCGCAAGCGAAGCCUUGAACCGAAGCCCCGGUGAACGGCGGCCGUAACUAUAACGGUCCUAAGGUAGCGAAAUUCCUUGUCGGGUAAGUUCCGACCUGCACGAAUGGCGUAACGAUCUGGGUGCUGUCUCAACGCGCCGCUCGGCGAAACUGGAGCGGCGGUGAAGAUACCGUCAACCCGCAGCAAGACGGAAAGACCCCGUGAACCUUCACUGCAACUUGGCGGUGACUUCUGGGCGGGACCGUGCAGGAUAGGUGGGAGGCCGAGAGGCCGGAGCGUCAGCUUCGGCGGAGCCGACCUUGAGAUACCACCCUGUCCCCUCUGGAAGUCUAACCGAGGCUCGCUUUUCCGGGCCCG
rnacentral:rRNA from 1 species